rnacentral:misc_RNA from 1 species
AAGACUAUAGACCUGCGGAGUACCUGCGGAAGGAUCAUUAUUGAUUUUUGAAAAGGGUUGUCGCUGGCCUUUCGAGGCAUGUGCACGCCCGGCUCAACCUUUCAUAUUAUACACCUGUGUGCACCUUUUGUAGGCGUUGUCACGACGUCUAUGUUUUAUACACCAUCCCCCUGUAUGUUUAGAAUGUAACUUUCAUUUCUUCGCCUUAAAAAAGCGUCGAAAAAUUAUACAACUUUCAAC